UUAACUCAAAGUUGUAUGGAAUUGGAAUGUUUGCCGCUAGGGGCGCUGUUCCAACUGCAUACAAAUUUGAGUUA
rnacentral:pre_miRNA from 1 species